UACGUAGGGGGCAAGCGUUGUCCGGAAUUAUUGGGCGUAAAGAGCGUGUAGGCGGUCCGGUCAGUCGGUUGUGAAAGUCAAGGGCUCAACCCUUGAAUGCCGGCCGAUACUGCCGGGCUAGAGUCCGGAAGAGGUGAGUGGAAUUCCUGGUGUAGCGGUGAAAUGCGCAGAUAUCAGGAGGAACACCGAUGGCGAAGGCAGCUCACUGGGACGGUACUGACGCUGAGACGCGAAAGCGUGGGGGAGCAAACAGG
rnacentral:rRNA from 1 species